GCCAUCUAAAUUUCCUGGCUGUAAGCAAACCACAAUAUUCAUAAUUCAUUGAGAUUUCACGAUGUAGUACCGCCCCUGUCAAGGUGGAUCCAAUUGAGAAUGGGUAUCAAAAGGUAGCUAGCUAAUGAUACUCCCUGGAUUAGCCAUUCAUCCAUAGAACGUCAGCUUGUAAAUAACUAUUUAUUUUGUAUUUUUGUGUAGAGAACAACUGUAACAUUUUGUCAUGGUGUGGUGCUCAGUACUUAGAUGUGCAAACUACAAGCAACCACAGGCUGUUGGGGUAACAUUUCAUUGGUUACCUUACUAAGAAGUCAAGCAGAGAGUCCAAUUCCAUCAACAUCUAUAGCAGCAUAAACAUCGAGCUAAGCACCAGGACCCUUUGCUAAAUCUUUCCAUGACUCCAUGAUGAGCAAAUAAAUAUACUGGAGGUUAUGAGAAUUACCAUCUGAAGCUGAAGCAAUAUUCCUUGACCCAAGGACUGUACUUGACAUGAUACAAGAUCAACGGUGAAGUGUUCAUUAGUGAAGUCCUUAUCAACCAGUGGAACAGAAGAAGAAUUCCUCACUACCGGCAGACUGUCCAAACAUAAUUUCUAAUAGUUAUCUAUGUGGGACUGAUACUAGUGUGGAAGAGCUGGUCACUUUUAAAAUACUUGCUAAUUGGACAAUUUAAUAUUAUUGUCUUCCUGCUUAUACAUGAUGCGGUAGGAAUCGUAAGCGACAUCAUCAUUACACAUGUCAAUACUUAUUUUAUAUAACUUUGUUUGAAAUCUAUUUCUUAUUGUAAAGCAAGUAGAAUAUGCCCUUUGUGUUUUAUAGAAAUGCAAGGUGUUUAAUGUGAAUGAUUUUAUGCUUACUGCUAAUGUUUUUUAUACUUUCUAUUUUUUCAUGUUUUCUAUUGUUUUCUAAAAAUACAUUUAAAGUAUAUUUAUUUUUAAAAUGGUCUAGGGGGGAGUGUAAGAAUAUUUAGAAGAUAAAUACACAAUGCAGAGGACGAGAGGUCAAUAGAGUACUAACGGUCAAGAGGACUAAAAGCCAAUAGAGUACUUACGGUCAAGAGGACUAAAAGCCAAUAGAGUACUAACGGUCAAGAGGACUAAAAGCCAAUAGAGUACUUACGGUCAAGAGGACUAAAAGCCAAAAGAGUACUAACGGUCAAGAGGACUAAAAGCCAAUCGAGUACUAACGGUCAAGAGGACUAAAAGCCAAUAGAGUACUAACGGUCAAGAGGACUAAAAGCCAAUAGAGUACUUACGGUCAAGAGGACUAAAAGCCAAAAGAGUACUAACGGUCAAGAGGACUAAAAGCCAAUCGAGUACUAACGGUCAAGAGGACUAAAAGCCAAUAGAGUACUAACGGUCAAGAGGACUAAAAGCCAAUAGAGUACUUACGGUCAAGAGGACUAAAAGCCAAUAGAGUACUAACGAUCAAUGGAAAUUGUGUUUUUUUCUGUAGUAGGGCAUUAAUGAUCAAUGGGUGUCACGAGAAUUUUCAAUCCCAAUGAUAAUAACAAUCAAUCAAUAGCUUUGACAAAAUCCCUGAGGUUUAUAAAACCAUGGGUUUAAUAAUAAUUAGUCAAAGACUCAGCUUAUGCAAAAGGUCAGUACAGUUUAUUCACGAGAACGUUCUAAACUAAAUAAUAGAAAAACAUCCAUUUUAUUGCUGCGCACAUACUUCCACACACAAACAGUAGGUAUCCUACGCACAUACUGUAUCACUACCCAGCCGACAAAGAUUAGGGAGACCUUGAGACGUACUCCCUGUCCUCUCCCAAAUCUCUAGUCAGGUCGGUACCGAAUUUUGCUCAGACAGUCUGUGUUUAAGAUACGAUAAAGACAUAUUGUACAUAUACAUUGUUUUACCCUAAUUCUGACUAAAACUACACUCACAGAUAUAUAAUUUUACUGACUAAAACUACACACAUAAUUAGUGUCACGU